UACGUAGGGGGCAAGCGUUGUCCGGAUUUAUUGGGCGUAAAGAGCGUGUAGGCGGCCAGGUAGGUCCGUUGUGAAAACUCGAGGCUUAACCUCGAGACGUCGAUGGAAACCAUCUGGCUAGAGUCCGGAAGAGGAGAGUGGAAUUCCUGGUGUAGCGGUGAAAUGCGCAGAUAUCAGGAAGAACACCCGUGGCGAAAGCGGCCACCUAGCCCAUACCUGACGCUGAUGUGCGACAGCGUGGGGAGCGAACUGG
rnacentral:rRNA from 1 species